rnacentral:rRNA from 1 species
UUAAGUUAUUAAGGGCGCACGGUGGAUGCCUUGGCACUAGAAGCCGAUGAAGGACGUUACUAACGACGAUAUGCUUUGGGGAGCUGUAAGUAAGCUUUGAUCCAGAGAUUUCCGAAUGGGGAAACCCAGCAUGAGUUAUGUCAUGUUAUCGAUAUGUGAAUACAUAGCAUAUCAGAAGGCACACCCGGAGAACUGAAACAUCUUAGUACCCGGAGGAAGAGAAAGAAAAUUCGAUUCCCUUAGUAGCGGCGAGCGAAACGGGAAGAGCCCAAACCAACAAGCUUGCUUGUUGGGGUUGUAGGACACUCUAUACGGAGUUACAAAGGACGACAUUAGACGAAUCAUCUGGAAAGAUGAAUCAAAGAAGGUAAUAAUCCUGUAGUCGAAAAUGUUGUCUCUCUUGAGUGGAUCCUGAGUACGACGGAGCACGUGAAAUUCCGUCGGAAUCUGGGAGGACCAUCUCCUAAGGCUAAAUACUCUCUAGUGACCGAUAGUGAACCAGUACCGUGAGGGAAAGGUGAAAAGCACCCCGGAAGGGGAGUGGAAAUAGAACCUGAAACCGUGUGCUUACAAGUAGUCAGAGCCCGUUAAUGGGUGAUGGCGUGCCUUUUGUAGAAUGAACCGGCGAGUUACGAUUUGAUGCAAGGUUAAGCAGUAAAUGUGGAGCCGUAGCGAAAGCGAGUCUGAAUAGGGCGUUUAGUAUUUGGUCGUAGACCCGAAACCAGGUGAUCUACCCUUGGUCAGGUUGAAGUUCAGGUAACACUGAAUGGAGGACCGAACCGACUUACGUUGAAAAGUGAGCGGAUGAACUGAGGGUAGCGGAGAAAUUCCAAUCGAACCUGGAGAUAGCUGGUUCUCUCCGAAAUAGCUUUAGGGCUAGCCUCAAGUGAUGAUUAUUGGAGGUAGAGCACUGUUUGGACGAGGGGCCCCUCUCGGGUUACCGAAUUCAGACAAACUCCGAAUGCCAAUUAAUUUAACUUGGGAGUCAGAACAUGGGUGAUAAGGUCCGUGUUCGAAAGGGAAACAGCCCAGACCACCAGCUAAGGUCCCAAAAUAUAUGUUAAGUGGAAAAGGAUGUGGCGUUGCCCAGACAACUAGGAUGUUGGCUUAGAAGCAGCCAUCAUUUAAAGAGUGCGUAAUAGCUCACUAGUCGAGUGACACUGCGCCGAAAAUGUACCGGGGCUAAACAUAUUACCGAAGCUGUGGAUUGUCCUUUGGACAAUGGUAGGAGAGCGUUCUAAGGGCGUUGAAGCAUGAUCGUAAGGACAUGUGGAGCGCUUAGAAGUGAGAAUGCCGGUGUGAGUAGCGAAAGACGGGUGAGAAUCCCGUCCACCGAUUGACUAAGGUUUCCAGAGGAAGGCUCGUCCGCUCUGGGUUAGUCGGGUCCUAAGCUGAGGCCGACAGGCGUAGGCGAUGGAUAACAGGUUGAUAUUCCUGUACCACCUAUAAUCGUUUUAAUCGAUGGGGGGACGCAGUAGGAUAGGCGAAGCGUGCGAUUGGAUUGCACGUCUAAGCAGUAAGGCUGAGUAUUAGGCAAAUCCGGUACUCGUUAAGGCUGAGCUGUGAUGGGGAGAAGACAUUGUGUCUUCGAGUCGUUGAUUUCACACUGCCGAGAAAAGCCUCUAGAUAGAAAAUAGGUGCCCGUACCGCAAACCGACACAGGUAGUCAAGAUGAGAAUUCUAAGGUGAGCGAGCGAACUCUCGUUAAGGAACUCGGCAAAAUGACCCCGUAACUUCGGGAGAAGGGGUGCUCUUUAGGGUUAACGCCCAGAAGAGCCGCAGUGAAUAGGCCCAAGCGACUGUUUAUCAAAAACACAGGUCUCUGCUAAACCGUAAGGUGAUGUAUAGGGGCUGACGCCUGCCCGGUGCUGGAAGGUUAAGAGGAGUGGUUAGCUUCUGCGAAGCUACGAAUCGAAGCCCCAGUAAACGGCGGCCGUAACUAUAACGGUCCUAAGGUAGCGAAAUUCCUUGUCGGGUAAGUUCCGACCCGCACGAAAGGCGUAACGAUUUGGGCACUGUCUCAACGAGAGACUCGGUGAAAUCAUAGUACCUGUGAAGAUGCAGGUUACCCGCGACAGGACGGAAAGACCCCGUGGAGCUUUACUGUAGCCUGAUAUUGAAAUUCGGCACAGCUUGUACAGGAUAGGUAGGAGCCUUUGAAACGUGAGCGCUAGCUUACGUGGAGGCGCUGGUGGGAUACUACCCUAGCUGUGUUGGCUUUCUAACCCGCACCACUUAUCGUGGUGGGAGACAGUGUCAGGCGGGCAGUUUGACUGGGGCGGUCGCCUCCUAAAAGGUAACGGAGGCGCUCAAAGGUUCCCUCAGAAUGGUUGGAAAUCAUUCAUAGAGUGUAAAGGCAUAAGGGAGCUUGACUGCGAGACCUACAAGUCGAGCAGGGUCGAAAGACGGACUUAGUGAUCCGGUGGUUCCGCAUGGAAGGGCCAUCGCUCAACGGAUAAAAGCUACCCCGGGGAUAACAGGCUUAUCUCCCCCAAGAGUUCACAUCGACGGGGAGGUUUGGCACCUCGAUGUCGGCUCAUCGCAUCCUGGGGCUGUAGUCGGUCCCAAGGGUUGGGCUGUUCGCCCAUUAAAGCGGUACGCGAGCUGGGUUCAGAACGUCGUGAGACAGUUCGGUCCCUAUCCGUCGUGGGCGUAGGAAAUUUGAGAGGAGCUGUCCUUAGUACGAGAGGACCGGGAUGGACAUACCUCUGGUGUACCAGUUGUCGUGCCAACGGCAUAGCUGGGUAGCUAUGUGUGGACGGGAUAAGUGCUGAAAGCAUCUAAGCAUGAAGCCCCCCUCAAGAUGAGAUUUCCCAACUUCGGUUAUAAGAUCCCUCAAAGAUGAUGAGGUUAAUAGGUUCGAGGUGGAAGCAUGGUGACAUGUGGAGCUGACGAAUACUAAUCGAUCGAAGACUUAAUCAA